GAUGAACGCUGGCGGCGUGCCUAACACAUGCAAGUCGAACGGAACUUCUUUGACAGAAUUCUUCGGAAGGAAGUUGAUUAAGUUUAGUGGCGGACGGGUGAGUAACGCGUGAGUAACCUGCCUUUGAGAGGGGAAUAACUUCCCGAAAGGGAUGCUAAUACCGCAUGAUGCAUAGAAGUCGCAUGGCUUUUAUGCCAAAGAUUUAUCGCUCAAAGAUGGACUCGCGUCCGAUUAGCCAGUUGGCGGGGUAACGGCCCACCAAAGCGACGAUCGGUAGCCGGACUGAGAGGUUGAACGGCCACAUUGGGACUGAGACACGGCCCAGACUCCUACGGGAGGCAGCAGUGGGGGAUAUUGCGCAAUGGGGGAAACCCUGACGCAGCAACGCCGCGUGAAGGAUGAAGGUUUUCGGAUUGUAAACUUCUUUUAUUUAGGACGAAGAAUGACGGUACUAAAUGAAUAAGCUCCGGCUAACUACGUG
rnacentral:rRNA from 1 species